UACGUAGGGUGCGAGCGUUGUCCGGAAUUAUUGGGCGUAAAGGGCUCGUAGGCGGUUUGUCGCGUCGGGAGUGAAAAUCCAGGGCUUAACUCUGGACUGGCUUCCGAUACGGGCAGACUAGAGGUAUGCAGGGGAGAACGGAAUUCCUGGUGUAGCGGUGAAAUGCGUAGAUAUCUGGAGGAACACCGGUGGCGAAGGCGGCAUCCUGGACCAAUAUUGACGCUGAGGAGCGAAAGCCAGGGGAGCAAACGGG
rnacentral:rRNA from 1 species